rnacentral:snRNA from 1 species
AUACCUUUCUCUGCCUUUUGGCUAAGAUCAAGUGUAGUAUUUGUUCUUAUUAGUUUAAUAUCUGAUAUGUGGGUCAAUGAUCCACACGAUAUUAAAUUAAUUUCUUUACGGGGUAGGGUCCAUUACAAUAGCUUGCUAUUGGGGCUCUCAAGUGUCGCCCAAGCGUUGCACUAUUGCAUGGGCCUGCGCACCCCAC